rnacentral:rRNA from 1 species
AGAGUUUGAUCCUGGCUCAGAUUGAACGCUGGCGGCAGGCUUAACACAUGCAAGUCGAGCGGUAACAGAGAUAGCUUGCUAUCUGCUGACGAGCGGCGGACGGGUGAGUAAUGCUUGGGAAUAUGCCUUAUGGUGGGGGACAACAGUUGGAAACGACUGCUAAUACCGCAUAACGUCUACGGACCAAAGGGGGGGAUCUUCGGACCUCUCGCCAUUUGAUUAGCCCAAGUGAGAUUAGCUAGUUGGUGAGGUAAUGGCUCACCAAGGCGACGAUCUCUAGCUGGUUUGAGAGGAUGGUCAGCCACACUGGGACUGAGACACGGCCCAGACUCCUACGGGAGGCAGCAGUGGGGAAUAUUGCACAAUGGGCGAAAGCCUGAUGCAGCCAUGCCGCGUGUGUGAAGAAGGCCUUCGGGUUGUAAAGCACUUUACAGUUGUGAGGAAAGGGGUGUAGUUAAUAGCUGCAUCCUGUGACGUAACAACAGAAGAAGCACCGCUAACUU